GGAGGUUCAGCUGGGCAGGGUGGCGGGGCCGUUCAGGGAGCCCCUGUUACCCAACUUGACAGUAUCACCACUUGGGGUGAUACCCAAGAAGGAGCCCGGCAAGUACCGCCUGAUUCACCAUCUGUCCUACCCCAAGGGGUCGUCAGUUAAUGACGACAUAGACAGGGCCCUUUCUUCAGUUUCGUACGCUUCGUUCGACCAGGCGGUGAACCUGGUGCAGCGAGCAGGCCGGGGGGCGCUGUUGGCGAAGGCGGACGUGGAGGCGGCUUUCCGCCUUUUGC